GCCCCGUUGACAAAGUGGCAUAGCGUCAACUAGUAAUGACAAGAUCACUGGUUCGAUCCCAGUACAAGACG